rnacentral:lncRNA from 1 species
AUUUUCGUUUUCUAUAAAAAUAAAGAUAAAAUCAACCGAAAUCCAAUACCUUCCACCUCAAGCUUUCACGUCGGGUUCACCACUUAUGUCGUAUUACGUGCUUUCCUGCUCGAGAACGCGCCGGGCGUCUGGCUGUAGAAGGUAGUAUGGAGAUCCGCCGAUAGUCAAGCAGUGUAUCAGUUUUUACUGCUGGACUAUAAAUGACUG